AUUUUAUAAAAAUAUAUUAACAAAAAAUUAUGAACAACUAGCCAAAGCAUCUGGUGGUGCGAAAAACUCUUUACAAAAUAUAUGUAUGGAAUUAAAAAAAGUUUGUAACCAUCCGUUUUUAUGUUACGAACCAUUAGAUAAAGAAGAAUACAAAGAAAGGUUAGUUUAUUCUAGUGGUAAAAUAUGUUUAUUAGAAAAAUUGUUAAUCCGUUUGAAAGAAAGAGGCAAUCGUGUUUUAAUUUUUUCACAAAUGGUUAAAAUGUUGAAUAUACUAAGUGAAUAUUUAACAUUACGUGGAUUUAAGCAUCAACGUUUGGAUGGUACAAUGACAAAAGAGAUGCGAAAAAAAGCAAUGAAUCAUUUUAAUAGUAAGAACUCAGAUGAUUUUGUUUUUUUAUUAUCAACAAAAGCUGGUGGUUUAGGUAUUAAUUUAACUUCUGCAGAUACUGUUAUUAUAUAUGAUUCUGAUUGGAAUCCACAGAAUGAUUUACAGGCAGGUGCAAGAGCUCAUCGAUAGGUCAAACAAAAACGGUUCAAAUAUAUCGGUUAGUAACAAAAGAUUCGAUUGAGCAGACUAUUUUAGAACGUGCAAAAGUUAAAAUGGUGUUAGAUACAUUAGUUGUUCAAGGACUUAACAAAAAACAAAAUGAUCAUGUUAGUUAUCUUGGUGGAGAAGGAGGUGGUAAUUCAGCUAAUGGUUUUACAAGAGAGGAAUUAUCAAAAAUAUUAAAAUUUGGUGCACAAAAGUUAUGGGAAAAAAAUAGUUCAAAAUAUAAUUCUGAAGAAGAAGAGGAUGGUGAGAAUGAAAAUGAGGAAGAUGGAGAAACAUCAACAGAACAAACAGCAGCUGGUUUAACAGAUGAAGUAAAAAAAAAAAAAAAAAAAAAAAAAAAAAAUGUUAUUAAAGGUGUAGAUGUUGAUUUGGAUAAAAUUUUAGAAGAAGCAGAAGCAAAUGAAAAUGCUUCUAAUACAGUAGCUAACAAAGGAUUAAAUUCUGAUUUGAAUAGUAUACAAAAUGAUAAUAAUUUAUUUUUUAAUAGUUUAGAUGGUACUAGUAGUAGUUUAUUUAAUAAUGGUAAUGGUAUUGAUGAUGGUUCUGGUUCAGGUGUAGGUGUAAAUGGUGUUGAUGUAGGAGGUGGAGGAGCAGGAGGAGGUGUAGCAGAUGAUUUGUUAAGUUCUUAUAAUAAUAUAACUGAGUUUAAAUAUGAACCUCCACCACAUUUAAAAAGUAAUAUCUUAUAUUGUGAUACAGGAAAAUCAGGGUUAAGUGGUAAUGGUCAAGGAGUAGAGGAAGAAGAGAAUGAUAAAGCAUUUUGGGAUAAAACUAUACCAUUAGAAGAAAGAUUAAAAAUAAAAAAAGAUGAAAGAAGAAGCAUUGUUGGUAUAUGGUCCUAGAAAAACUAGAACAAGAGAUAUGAGAAAUAUGUUACUAGAUAUGGAUAAUGGAAGUUAUAACAAUUCAAUUGGUAAUAACAAUAAUUCUGGUAGUUAUAACAAUUCUUUGUAUGACGAAUAUAAUACGAGUGGAAAAAAUUAUCACUAUGGUAGAACCAGUAGUAGUUAUAGUCACUUUCAUGAUAAUGAUGAUAGUGAUGAAUAUACAAUAAAAUAUGUUGAUAGAGGUAGAAUGAAGAGUAAAAGUGGUAAAUAUAGAGGUGGAUUAAUAGGAAGAGGAGGACAUGGUGGUGGUAGUCAGUACUAUGAUAGACUUAAUAACAUUAAUAAAAAAAAACGAAAUAGAAGAACAUCUACUCAUAUUACUGAAAAAGAUAAAUUUCGAUUGUAUAGAUCUUUAUUAAAAUUUGGUAAUCCGAGUUUACGUUUAGAUCAUAUACAAGAAGAUGCUAAAUUAAUGAAAGUAGAUAAAAAUGUAAUUUUAAUGGAAUUAAAUAUUAUUGUUGAUACAUGUACAAAAAUAGUAGAAAGAGUAACAAAUAAUAACAAGUGUGAUGUAGAUAAAGUAGAUGGGAAAUUAGAAUCGGAUAUUACUACUAAUGUUUUAGCAGAUACUAUGGUAGGUAUAGGUGAGGAAGUUGAUGAUAGUGAGGCUGUUGUAGGUGUGAAUGAUGAUGAUGAUGGUGAUGGUAUUGGUGGUGAUAUGAUAAAAGCUUCAAGUUCAACAACGAAUAUAUCUGGUUCUGUUUUGUCAAUGUUUUUAAGUAACAAUGUUGAUACUGAUUAUUUAAAAGGAGAAGAUGAUGAAGUAUUGAAAGUGGAUGGCACUAUUAGUAGUAGUAGCAUAGAUGGUCGUGAUAAAACAUAUGUAUCUAAAAAGGAACAAGUUAAAAAUGGGGUUGUUAAAAAUGAAAUAAUAAAUGACGAAACGAUAAAAGGCGAAGCAGUAAAAGACGAAACGAUAAAAGACGAAACGAUAAAAGACGAAACGAUAAAAGACGAAACAGUAAAAGGCGAAACAGUAAAAGGCGAAACAGUAAAAAACGAAACAGUAAAAGGCGAAACAGUAAAAAACGAAACAGUAAAAAACGAAACAGUAAAAAACGAAACAGUAAAAGACGAACUAGAAGAAAUGUAUAAGAAAGAACUAUGUGAGAAGGAAGAGAUGGAGAUUUGUUAUGAAAAUACACAGGACCAAGUCAGUGAUACUAAAAAAGAAUUACAAAGUAGUAACAGUUGUAAUUUCAACAGUAGUAGUAUUAAAGGUGUUGUUUUUUCGAAAAGUGUAAAAACUGACAUGACUGUAUCAGGUAAAAAAGUAGUAAAUGAUAAUAAUACUAGUUUAAAAGAUGAACUAAGUACUAAUGACGAAUUAAGUACUAAAGACGAGCUUAGUACAAAGGAUGAAUUAAGUACUAAAGAUGAAACUAAUAUAAAAGACGAACCAAAUGACACCACAACAGAACUAGAAACAGAUACUACUAACAAAAUGAAUAAAAUAAGUUUCAAAGAAAAUGAUGAAAACUCAAACGAUGAUGAGACUUUUAAUGUAGGGUUAGGUAAUAAAACAAAAGAGAAUAAUGGUACCGGUGGUGGUGAAAAAGUACGAAAAGUAGAUGCAUAUACUUUUUAUAUAGGAACAAAUAAAGCUAACGCAUUAGAUUUAUGUCAAAGACUACAAUUGUUUAAAUGUUUACAUGAUUUUGUUAAAGAACAAAAUAAUAAUAAUGAGUAUAGUUUUAAUUUACCAUUAAAAGCGAAUAUACCAGAACCGGUUGAUGAAACUGUUGUUACCGUUAAAACUAAGUGUAACAGCAGAGGUGCAAAAAGCAACAACAAUAAUAAUAAUAAUAAUAGUAGUAAUAGUAGUAGUAGUAGUAGUAAUAAAUUAAAAAGUGAUAAAAAAGAAGAGGCAUCUGGUAUUGCAGAAACUGGUGGAGAAACUGGUGGAGAAACUGGUGGAGAAACUGGUAUAGAGACUGGUAUGGAGACUGGUAUGGAGACUGGUAUGGAGACUGGUAUGGAGACUGGUAUGGAGACUGGUAUGGAGACAGGUGUAGAAACUGGUGUAGAUACUGGUGUAGAUACUGGUGUAGAUACUGGUGUAGAACCCGGUGCAAAAACCGAUACACUAGUGAACACUGAAACGAAUGCUAUAACUACAAAAGCAGAAGCAGAAGCGGAAAAAGAAUCUGACUAUUUGAAACUUAAACUACCGAGCUACAUCUUCAAACAUUUGAGAGAUUUAACGACAAAAGAUGUAAAAGUAUGGACUAAAGAAGAUGAUGAAAAUUUGAUAAAAGGUGUUUAUGUUUAUGGUUUUGGUUCAUUUAAUGAAAUAUGUGCAGAUCCUAAUUUAAAAUUAGAACAUAUGAAAAAUAUAAAAUGUGAUAAAAUAAAAAUGAGAUCUGUACGUAUAUUAAAAAUGAUAGAAGAGUUUAGUCAAUGUAGUAAUAAAGAUAAAAUAAUUUUGAAAAAAAGAAGGAGAUCAAGGAAUAAAACUAAGACAACAGUUAAUAAUAAUAAUAAUAAUAAUACGGAGUUGGUUAUAAAAGUAGAAGAUGAAGAAGUAGUUGAUAAUGGUACUGCUAACAUGAUUACUAGUAAUAGUACUCCAACUGAUAGUGUUAGUGCUACUGUUAGUAUACCUACAAGUACUGCUACAACUCCUAUGAAUAAUGAUACAAUUAAUCUUUUAGAUGGAAAUAGUACUACCAGUUUGGGUAAUUCCAUCCGUUCUAGUAAUCGUAUUAGUAAUCGUACUCGUAUUGGAAGUAGUACACGUUUAGGUACCAUCAGUAGAACAAGUAGUAUGAAUAAGGGGAGUAGUAGUGCCACUAAGGGGAGUAGUAGUGCCACUAAAGGGAGUAGUAGCACCACUAAGGGAAGUAGUAGUAGUACUACUAAGGUUAGUAGUAGUAGUACCACUAAAGUUAGUAGUAACAGUAGGGUAAGUAGUAAUAGUAGAUUGAGUAGUAAUAGUAGAAUGGGUAGUAACAGUAGGAUGCGCAGUAGUAACAGAAUAAAUAAUACCAGUAAAGUUAGUAAUAAUAAUAAUACUAGUAAAGUAAAUAGUAUUAGUAGUACUAACAAGAUUAAUUGUAAUAGUCGACUUGGUACUAGUACACGUAGUAUGAGUAAAUUAGAUGAAAAAAAAUACAAGCCCUAAUGUUAAAG
ensembl:lncRNA